rnacentral:tRNA from 1 species
GAAGCUCUGGGGGAUGGCGUCGCCCCACUUCAUGAAGGUGCGAAUCGCGGUGGGUGCGGUGUACAGGAUCGUGACCCGGUGCUUCUC